AGACAUAGGAACCCUGCAAAAGUCUCAUCUUCCAAGAUUAAAUUGCAAAUGUCUAUUCACAAACUUGUUCAACACCACCCCUAAUCUUACUCCCUCCUUCUCCCCACCCCACCCAAAUUGUAUAGGCAGUUGCUAAUGUGAAUUUAAAAUUCAAUAUGAAUGGCUAGGGGGAAAAAAGGCAUGCCUAUUGGAACUUACUCUGCUCUUAAUCUGGAUUUAGGGACUCAAUUGAAUAGAAGUACAUUAUGCUUGAACAACUGAAGUUUCUAUUAUUUUUAAACCUUUUUUACAGAAAACAACACCAACAGCAUAUUGAAUAUUUUAUUGCACAUUUUCUGCUUAUGGUUAGUAUUUUCAAGGUCUAACAGGUAAUUUAAAGUGUCACUAUUCAUGGAAUUAUCCAUGUUAGCAUUUAUAACUGUUAAUAGGUCUUGUGAUAUAGUGGUGAGAUCAUUUAUUUUCUUAAAUAUCAGAGAUCAGGACCUUUGUUCUGGCUCCAAGUACCUUGGGUGGUUCUCUGAACUUCUUUGGAGUCUUACUUUUUCAUCUGUAAAAACCAGAGUGAGAGUCUGAUAUCUAAGCUAAUGAAGUUCUAUGAUUCUCACCAAAAUAUACUACUUCUUAGGGACUUCCAAUAAAUUUGAUAUACCUGGACCUUUCCUACUAGCAAUAAUUAGAUUUGCUAAUCUGUCCUUAUUUCCUAGUAAUGUAUAUUUAAUAUUGCUGUUUAUAGCUCUCACUAUAUUUUUUUUUUACCUUUUUUUAAAAUUUCAAGGGAAAACUGUUGAUUAGGAAACUGUUGUUAGGAAAACUCUGACAGACGCCAUUGAAAACAUACUGGCUUAUAGUAGUGAAACUUUGAAGCAAACUUUUAAGCUCUGAUUACUCUUAGCCUGGAGACUGCUAGGUACCAAUAUUAAUUGCAGCUUAGUAAAAGAACAGCUUUCAGGUCUGUAAUUCAUCAAAGAGAAUUUUAUUAAGCUCUUGUCCAAAGUCUAGAAAUAUAACUUUCUUCAUGGCAAUAACUGCAGCAAAUGAGAGACUUCGAAUGGAAUAUCAAAUGGCUACAUCUCUAUGCACCAGAGAAACGAUCUCAUUAACAAAGUAGUUCUGUGUGUCCUUAAUACUGAGGCCCUAGACUGCAGCUGCAGGCAGUUCUCUACUCAGCCCGCAGUGCCGAGUGACACAGACAGGCGACAUCAUCUGAGUACUAACUUCUACUACAUCCAGACAGACUGCGAGAACCAUUUCCAAAUCGUGGGAAGACGUUAGAGAACCAAAGGGGUGGCUGCAAAGUUUUGGACAAGACCUCUACAGGCAACUGGAAGCACAGUGUACCCAGGUGGUGGGGCUCGUCUGUGGCAAUAUAUUUUCCAGUCUGUCCAAUUGAAUAUGGCUGUAAGGGGAAUAAAACCCCAUGUAAUCUCCAGCAGUGACAAUUUAAUCAGUUGUGUAAGGGGAAGAAGCAGAGUCCCCUCAUUUUCAUAUUUGCAUAUUUGAUUUUUGCAUUGGGGAAUAGAGGUUAUGUGUUUCUAUUACUUUCCAUUUGAUUUUAAUAUUUAACCCUUUUAGGAGCAAAUUUCUUCCAAUGAUAGGAAAUAUUGAGUCAAGCUGGUCAAAAAAUAAGAUUUCUGUUUUCAAAUAAAGCUCUGGAUGCAGCAUGUCCUGUGUAACAUUUUUUCCUACAAAGAAUCUAUGUGCCGAACAUGGCUUGUGUGUUCCCAGCUUCUGCACAUUAUGCAUCCCCUCUUAACAUUCAGAGAUCCACCCUGAAAAUGAAGGCAACUAUUUGGAGAACAAUACAAAAUGAUGAGGUAGUCUUAUACCUAUACCAUAGUAUGUCCCCUUUUUUGUAUUUGCAUUUUUUAAAAUGGUAAGUCUUAAUAACUGCUGCUAUUCCUGAGAAAGUAGGGUUUCUAAAAUACCUUAUAUAUACAGGAAUCCCUUCUUAUGAGGUUAUAGAAAGGCAAUAGAUACAGUUAAAUUAGUAAAAUUCCAUUGUUUUAAAACUCUGUUUUACAACUGACAGAAUGAUGUUAUUAUCCAUAAUAUGGUAACAGAUUAGGGAAUAGAUUUUAAAAUAAAUAAGAUGCAGGUAAUUCAAAGUCAUCAUCAAUUACCCUUGUGUGACUCCCUUGAGUAUAUUAAAAAUCCACUCAAAAUGGUUUUGGAUUUGAAUUGCUGGAACAUAGAUAGCUGUUUUUUCUUUUUUCUUUUUUAAUGCAUCAAUUCAUGUAAACCUCCGAUUGUGAAAGCUCCAGAAGUAUGUUGGGUAAUUAAAAAAAAAAGAAAAAGAAAAAGCUCGUAUUCUACUUGCUUAAUACUUUACAGUUUCUCUAUAAAAGUGAACUCUGAAGCCAGGCUUUCACUGCAGAGGAAAAAAUAUUGAUUUGAUUCUAUGUAAUUUUGCAAAAAGAGAAAAAAAAAUUUUUAAGUUUUAAAAUGUUCUGUGCAUUAAAUUUAAUCUAUAUAUGUAUUCACACAUGUGUGUAUGUUAGGCCAUAUUAACAUAUGGCCUCAAUAUUGUUAGUUAAAUUCUAUAAGAAAUUACUAAAAUUGGUAUUUGGAAAAGACAAUCCAUAGCAUUUUAUUAAAAAGCAGAGCAGAUCAUCUUUCUGUGUUCAUGAAAAGUGCACCAGUAGUAGUAUACAGGUAUAUAUAAUUAUUAGAUGACAGGUAUAAGAUGUUUUGGGGAUGAGCAGAAUUCACAUUAAAUUCCAGCACAUAAUACGUUAAGUUUUGAAUGUAGUCUUAUUUAUUUAAAUCUGCAUUCUGAUGGUCACACUUUCAAAGAGGUAACAAAUAUCUGUGAUCCAGUGAUUACCUAUUCAAAU
ensembl:lncRNA